rnacentral:lncRNA from 1 species
UAUAACUACAGACCAUGACCAACAACCCACAUAAAGCGUGUGCAAACACAAGUGAUUAAUGUACCAGGAUUUCAAAACAUCUACAACUAACGAGUCAGAUUUCACAGGGUGCAGGAGAGGGAAGAGGAGCAGAAGGGGAUGGGUGGGAACAGGGAUAUGCGUGGGGGGUAGCAGGGCAAGGGGCUGCUUGCAAGUAAAGGAGGAAUGAGGAACAAUUUGAUGAGUCUUAACAGCCUAUCUCAGGGCACUCCUGUGUGCUGCCUCACUGGGGCACAAUCCUUUGGUGGUAACCACAUCCUCAAAUGGUCACCGAAGAGAUGCAGGGAUAAUGGGUUACAAAGACAGACAUUAAUAAGGUGGAGAGUCCUCUUGUGCACAAUGGCCAACACAAAAUGCAUGAAGUGCUGAAACAUCUCCAUCUCAGUCUGAAGCUGACCCUGGGGACUCCCAGCUAUAGAGCAUGGCUGUGGGAGAAGUUAUCACUUACCAACCCAUCUGAAAUCCCAGAACUUGUAGGCUAUAUUGGACAACUGUGGUUUGAUGCUUUACAUCAUCCUUUGGAACAACACAAGGUAGCACAUACCAAAUGAUGAAAUCAAAUAGACUUUUUUUUUUUUUAAAUGUAUUGUUUUUCUUGUAUUUCUGUAUUUCCUCCCUAAGCAAAUAAUACCCUAGUGAGGAAUGAGAAAGAACACAGAAUUUGCAACUGUG